GCCAACUCUCUAUCAAAACGUAAGGGGGCCAGAUAAGACUACAACAUUCGUUACCUCCAUUUCUCUGGCUAGCCUUCCACUAGCCUACUUUCAGGCAUGCACGGGCAUGCAUAGUUCAAUUAAAUCUGGCUCAUGAAACGAAAUGCUAUUUAGAAGGCUCUUGAGUGUAUUCUGCCACACAUACAAUUGUUAUUUAGAAGAAGAAUGUUGCAGCAAGUAGCCUAGAAGCUCAUCUAUCUAAUCUGAUGAAAAGUGCUGCCUUCCCUAACGCAGCUAGACCCAGAUUAAAUGU